GCAGAAGUGGCAGAGUGGCUAUGCAACUGGCUGCAGACCAGUGAAAGAGAGUUCGAUUCUCUCCUUCUGCU
rfam:Tncultured methanogenic archaeon RC-I complete genome